AUUGAACGCUGGCGGCAGGCCUAACACAUGCAAGUCGAGCGGAGCGGCGGACGGGUGUGUAAUGCCUAGGAAUCUGCCUGGUCGUGGGGGAUACCGUCCGGAACCGGUCGCUAUUACCGCAUUCUAUCAGGUGAGCCUCGGUCGGAUUAGCUAGUUGGUGGGGUAAGUGCCUACCCAGGCGACGAUCCGUAACUGGAGUGAGAGGAUGAUCAGUCCCAUGGGAACGGAGACACGGUCCAGACUACUACGGGAGGCAGCAGUGGGGAAUAUUGGACAAUGGGCGAAAGCAUGGUCCAGCCAUGGAGACGGUGUGAAGAAGGCCUUCGGAUUGUAAAGCACUUUAAGGGGGGAGGCGGUACUAACAGAAGAAGCACCGGCUAACUUCGUGCCAGCAGCCGCGGUAAUUC
rnacentral:rRNA from 1 species